AUCCCCGCCUCCAGCUGGCCCCUCACAUGGGCUGUUUCCCAGCCAGGAUGUCCUCUCCACCAAGCCAGCCCGCACUGCUGAGAAGCUCUCAGGGAUCAGCCCCUCCCUCCUUUGUGCUCUCACAAAACGAGUUCAUUCCCCGUGAGUUAAGAUUUCCUGCACGUCUGCGGCGUGCCGGGCGCUGGGGGAGGAAGGUGCUUUGUGCUCGGCAUCAAGGUGGAUUUCAUCUGCAGGCGAGUCUGCCUUUCACCCGGGCUGAGCUCUGGGGGGGUUGGGAUACCCCCCUUCCCCGCCCAAUGCCUACCUGCCCAGGUGCCAGGCUCCAGGUCGGCAGGACUCUGGCUGUGCACCACUCAGCACGGGCGGCGGGGGCCCUGGCAGGGGAGACCUGGGGGCACAGCGUGGAAGGGGCAGUGGCCAGGGGGUCAGUAACAUGCUGCACCCCCCCAACACAGAACACACACCCGGAAGAGGAAGCGAGGGGCUGAGGCUGAGCAGGUGGGGAGGGCGUCUUCCUGCUGAGGGAACAAUCAGCCCGCGCCCACCCCCCACCCCGAGACAGAACUGGCAGGGGGCGGCCAGAGCAGCGGGGGCCACGCAAAGGCCGAGAUGGCAGGGUGGAGGGGGGCGGCUGGCACGCUUGCUGAAGAGUUCAGCCUUCUCCCUGGGAGCUGGGAGCCGUGGGAACGGGGAAGGGCUGUUGGCAGAAGAACAAGGGGGCUGGCUUUGCAUUUCAGGAGGUGGAAGGAAGGCUGGCUGCUGGGAGGGCACACGAUGGGCCCGAGGGCUGGUGAGGAACCUGUGAAUGCUGCCCGCCCCCAGCCGUGGCCACCGCGCCCAGCGAAGCUGCCCCCUCGGCUGCUCCCGCAGGGAGGAGAGUGCUCAGGGCACCCCAGGGCCCCAGGGCAGGGGGCGGCCUCGGAUGGGGCCCUUGGGGAGCAGGAGGGUGGGGGCGUCUGCGAGUGGAGUGAGCCCAGAGGGCAGGGGGAGGCCCUGGGCAGCAGGCAGCCGGCCUGCUGGGACCCCCGGCUCUGCCCGUCCCCCGCCCAUGCUGCAGAACCAGCUGGGGUGUCUGGGGAGGAAGAGGCCGCUGAGCCCACAGGCAGAAGGCCCCCAGCCGAGGGUCCUGGCCAUCCUGCCCAGUGACCUAGCGGGGCCCAGCUACCCUAUCCGUAAGAAGGGGUUCUCCUGGGGUUCUCAAGGCAAGAAUACCAGAGUGCUUUGCCAUUCCCUGCUCCAGUGGACCGCGUUUUGUCAGGCCCCGACUAGCAAGGACGUGUCCUCCAGCCGCUCCACGUGGCAUGCCUGGCGCCCUGGGUGUCCCGGUGCUGGUCCUCAUUGAGUCAGGAAAACUUCACCAGCAGCCCCAGAGAUCGGGGCACAGGUGCUGCUGGAGUCGCUGUGUCUCUGGGUGGCCGUCAGCCUGGCCUGCACGGGCCUGUGCCAGCCAGGGUUGCUCUCUGAGGCCGUGAUGGUGUCGAUUCUGGACACACGCAUGGAGCACCUAUCCCAGACACGUCGCCAUCCCACUGUGUGUGGCUAUCCUGUGAUAGGGCGUCAUCGUGGAAGCUGUGGCCUUGCUCCUUGCCUGACGCCGCCCACCAGGCCCUCCAGGAGGGAUGGGGCAGGCGGGGCAGGAGGGGCAGGUGUGGGUGACUUUGGUUCUGAGGCUCCAGGAGCCAGGGAGGGCCCAUGAGAGACAGGCACGGCCCCACCCUCCGCAGGGACCCGGCGGUGGGGGAUGCUCCCGGCACAUGGAUGAGUGCCCCUCCUGUCCGAGCUCUUGGUGGCUGGAAAGGUGGGGGGCCCUCCUCCCGUGAGCCCAGGCUGGAGUUACAUGUCCCUGGGGAGUGGGCAGCCUCCAGGGCUCCCCAGGAGAGGCACUUGUCCUGGGGACGUGGGAGGAGACUGGCUCACCGUGAGUCCCCAGGCCCCACCCUGGCAGAGAAACAGGCCUCCCCAUGUGUGUGGGAAAAAGCUCUGUCCAGCCCAGCUUUGAAUAUGGGGACCCAGGUCCCCCUCCUGCCCCGCGCCACAUGGAAGCCAGUGGCCUCCGUCUACCAGGCAAGGCAGAGACCUCCCAGCCGUGGGGCAGCCCUCCCUCCACCAGUGACUUGAGCUGGUCCCUGGAGGCGUGUGGGGGGGGACCCAGGUUACAGGGAGGGGAGGAGACUCGGCCAAACUCUGAAUAGCCCCUUCCAGCAGACCCCUGGGACCCCCGGAGAGCUACAGCCUUCUGCAGCCUCGGAGGCCGAGGCUUGGAGAGCUGCCGGGCGGGCGGGCGGGCGGGCGGGCGGGGGUAGGGUCUCUGCUCUUGGAGAGGGGAGAGUGUCACCAGGCUGGGAGCAGCUGGCGGGUCCGGACCGGGAAGUGCGGUCAGCCCGCCCACGGCCCCAGGCAGGGGUGGGGGCCUGGGGUGGCGGCGGUGAACUCUGGUUCUGCCCGCCCGCCCUGCUGGGCUGCUUUCAAAGUCCAGGGCCUUGUGAGCCAGGCGCAGUCCGUUUCCCGUUGGAUCCCAGCCCAUGAGGUGGGGGUGGGGUGGCAGAGAGCCCCCCUGCUCCUGGAGAGGGAGGGAAGUGUGGGAGGCUGCCAGGAGCAGCCUGCGUGCACCUCAGCCUCCAGAUCCCCCUCUCCCAGCUGCUCCCUGAGGCCCCCAGCGGGGAGAGGAACAUACCAGCUGACCGAGGACCAUCCCGCUGAGCAGCGGGACUUGGCGAAGUCCUUCCCCAUUUUGGAAAGUCCACCGAAUCCAGACCGUCCUAGCCGUGGCCCUGCACGCACACCCCGACCUGUCCUGCUCGUCCUGUCCUGCCCGCCCCUCGGCACUGGGACUGGCUUUGGGUAACGGAGCAUCAUGAUGGCGGACACAAGCAGACCAGGCCUCAGGACUCUGGCUUGCACCCUCUGGCCUCCCUGAGACUCCAGGUGAGGGUGCCCGAGGUCGCCAGCCGGAGCCGUGGGAACCGCUGAGUCAGCACCACCGCCCCGCCGGAGGGAGGCCGGCUGAGCAUGCAGCCCAGGAGCACCUGGGGCGCUGGGGGACGCAGCCUCCCAGCCGGGCCCAAGCUGCCGCCCCGGCACUGAGAACAAAUGCAGGGCUGGUUGUCUGAGCAGCAGGUGACCCACGUGUGUGCGUGCUCAGCUGCUCAGGCGUGUCCGACUCUGCGACCCCGUGGGCUGUAGCCCGCCAGGCUCCUCUGUCCACGGGAUUCUCUAGGCAGAUGCUUUACCACUGAGCCACCUGGGAAGCCCCGCUAAGAGAGGGUGGCCAUCUGCCUCCUGCAAGGAUUCAGAUUCAGUGAGACUCUGAAGGUGUUUGUACAAAUGCGUGUGCGCACGCACAGUCAGCCUCUCCUUCAAGCAAGGAGGCCUCCUGAACACAGCUCCUGCAUUCUUCCUGGGUCAAGGUUGUGGCCUGGAGCCUGAGCCUCGCAGCGGCAAGAAGGGGAAGCUGGGCUUGCUGAGCUCUGAGCCCCUGAAGGCAACAGGGCUUCCCCAAGGCCUCAGAGUGGGUGGGCAGAGCCUGGAACGAGCCCAGACCCGUGACUCUGCGGGGCGGGAGGGUGGGGAUGAGAGGCCCACCCUGGGGAGGGGCCUCUGCGCGUCCUUUUCACCCAGCGCCAGUCUCUUCAUGUCGCUCCGGGGCUACCUCCCCGCCAGGGGCGGCUUCCGGUCUGCCUUGGGCUUGGGCCGCAGAGACCAGCCUUGUGAGUACUGUGUAUGAAGUGAGAGCAAAUAGGCGCUGAGCGAGAGACCGUGGUGGGGCCGUGCCGGGCCUUGCACCGCAUCCCUGGCCCCUCUGAGGCCACCCCUGCUGAUUUCCUGGCUCCCAGAGGCCCCCUGGAUAAGCAAGGCGGCUGGCUGGGGGUGCUGGGCAAAUCUGAGGUGUGCACCUGUCGUUCUGGCUGGCGGGCUGGCUCCGUGGCAUCCUUCCCAGCCUCCAGAGCCACAGGGCACCUCCGCCGCAGCCAGCUUGACAGCAGCACUCCUGCGGCUCUGCUGUGGCCAGCGGACUGUGGGGACCAGGCGCUGGGCUGGCUGAGCGUCCGGGCGGGGGCUGGGGAAACCCGGCCUCGCACUCUCUCCUCUCCCCGCCUGCUCUCAUGGAAAAUAUGAACUGUGCUGGACGGGCUCCAAACGCAGGGGAUUCCAUUGUUCUGGCUUCCGCCCCGGCGUCUGGGGACCCAGCCCCUGCCUGGCCUUUCUCCCGGCGCCUCCAGGUCUUGGGACAAACCGUUCAAGAGCCUCAACCCUGCCACCUUCCUGGCCUGGGAUACAGACCCUGGGGAGCUUCUGGCCGGGAUGGCCUCCUCCUCAGCUCCAGAUGCUCCUUCUAAGCAGCUCAGCCCUCAGGGUGCUCUCUGCAGACUUUCUCCCCACCGGCUUCCCUCACAAGCUCUACUUCCUGGGGAGGGGAGGGGGGAGGGGAGGGGAGGGGAGG
ensembl:lncRNA